rnacentral:rRNA from 1 species
CAGUCGCCGCGGUAAUACAGAGGGUGCAAGCGUUAAUCGGAAUUACUGGGCGUAAAGCGCGCGUAGGUGGUUUGUUAAGUUGGAUGUGAAAUCCCCGGGCUCAACCUGGGAACUGCAUCCAAAACUGGCAAGCUAGAGUAUGGUAGAGGGUGGUGGAAUUUCCUGUGUAGCGGUGAAAUGCGUAGAUAUAGGAAGGAACACCAGUGGCGAAGGCGACCACCUGGACUGAUACUGACACUGAGGUGCGAAAGCGUGGGGAGCAAACAGGAUUAGAUACCCGCGUAGUCCCUGUCUCUUAUAU